AGUCUGAUGGGGGAGACAGCCAGUCUGAUGGGACCAUGCUGGGGAACAACUGGCCAAAUUCUUCUCACCCAGGGCAAAGAAGAGGAUAUAUAAAACCAACAGCUUAAACAAAAUUGAAUGUUUCCCCCUGCUCUUCCCAUAAUAGAAAUCUGCUGAUGAGCAAACAUGGAUGCUCCAUCGACCUCUUCUGGUCAAUUCCCAGCCAUCCUUGAAGACUUGAAGACUUGGCUUACGCACUCCUUUCCAGGGAGCCUUCCCAGCCCAUUUCUUUCCCAUCCUUCCUUGCCAUGAAUCCCUGUGUUCAUGUCUCUGCAGAAUGCCUGCACUCACCCUGGCACUGCAUGUAGCUGAUGUUCCCCAUGAGGCCUGGGGCUCUUGACUUUGUGUUUCUGCACUUGGCAGUGUAAUGUGUAUGGAGUUGACAUCCAGUGAAUUUCUAUUGA